rnacentral:rRNA from 1 species
CCUANGGGGGGCAGCAGUCGAGAAUUUUUCACAAUGGGCGCAAGCCUGAUGGAGCGACGCCGCGUGGGGGAAGAAUGGCUUCGGCCCGUAAACCCCUGUCAUUCGGGAUCAAUGCGUCUGGCGGAAUAUUCCAGACGUUGAUAGUACCGGAAGAGGAAGGGACGGCUAACUCUGUGCCAGCAGCCGCGGUAAUACAGAGGUCCCAAGCGUUGUUCGGAUUUACUGGGCGUAAAGGGUGCGUAGGCGGUCGGGUAAGUCUGGUGUGAAAUUUCGGAGCUUAACUCCGAAACGGCAUUGGAUACUAUCCGGCUCGAGGUUGGGAAGGGAGACUGGAAUUCUCGGUGUAGCAGUGAAAUGCGUAGAUAUCGAGAGGAACACCAGUGGCGAAGGCGAGUCUCUGGACCAAUCCUGACGCUGAGGCACGAAAGCCAGGGGAGCAAACGGGAUUAGAUACCCGUNUANUC